rnacentral:rRNA from 1 species
CCCAGACUCCUACGGGAGGCAGCAGUGGGGGAUAUUGCACAAUGGGGGAAACCCUGAUGCAGCGACGCUGCGUGUGGGAAGACGGUCCUCUGGAUUGUAAACCACUGUCCCCAGGGACGAAGAUGACGGUACCUGAGUAAGAAGCACCGGCUAAAUACGUGCCAGCAGCCGCGGUAAUACGUAUGGUGCAAGCGCUAUCCGGAUUUACUGGGUGUAAAGGGAGCGCAGGCGGCACGGCAAGCCUGAUGUGAAAGCCCGCGGCCCAACCGCGGGACUGCAUUGGGAACUACCGGGCUGGAGUGCAGGAGAGGUAAGUGGAAUUCCUAGUGUAGCGGUGAAAUGCGUAGAUAUUAGGAGGAACACCAGUGGCGAAGGCGGCUUACUGGACUGUAACUGACGUUGAGGCUCGAAAGCGUGGGGAGCAAACAGGAUUAGAUACCCCUGUAA